CGUUAGCGGCGGACGGGUGAGUAACACGUGGGUAACCUACCUAUAAGACUGGGACAACUUCGGGAAACCGGAGCUAAUACCGGAUAAGAUAUCGAACCGCAUGGUUCGAUAGUGAAAGAUGGUUUUGCUAUCACUUAUAGAUGGACCCGCGCCGUAUUAGCUAGUUGGUGAGGUAACGGCUCACCAAGGCAACGAUACGUAGCCGACCUGAGGAGGGUGAUCGGCCACACUGGAACUGAGACACGGUCCAGACUCCUACGGGAGGCAGCAGGG
rnacentral:rRNA from 1 species